rnacentral:rRNA from 1 species
CGGAAGUGCCCAAAGCCGGUGGGGUAACCUUCGGGAGCCAGCCGUCUAAGGUAAAGUCGAUGAUUGGGGUGAAGUCGUAACAAGGUAGCCGUAUCGGAAGGUGCGGCUGGAUCACCUCCUUUCUAGGGAGA